CAAUAGCGUAUAUUAAAGUUGUUGCAGUUAAAAAGCUCGUAGUUGGAUUUCUGGUAGGAGUGACCGUUCCGAACUUGAUUGUUCGUGUAUUGUGUUUUCUCCAGCCAUCCUUGUGGAGAACUUUUCUUGCAUUAAUUUGUAGGGAUUGGGACCCGCAUCGUUUACUGUGAAAAAAUUAGAGUGUUUAAAGCAGGCAAUCGCUUGAAUACAUUAGCAUGGAAUAAUAAGAUAGGACUUUGGUACUAUUUUGUUGGUUUGCAUACCAAAUUAAUGACCAACAGGAACAGUUUGAGGAUAUUCGUAUGAACAUGUCAGAGGUGAAAUUCUUGGAUUUUGAUCAGACGAACUACUGCGAAAGCAUUUAUCAAGGAUGUUUUCAUUAA
rnacentral:rRNA from 1 species